GCUGGGUGUGGUGGCGGGCGCCUGUAAUCCCAGCUACUCGGGAGGCUGAGGCAGGAGAAUUGCUUGAACCCAGGUGGCAGAGGCUGCAGUGAGCCAAGAUCGCAUCACUGCACUCCAGCCUGGGUGACAGAGCGAGACUCCGUCUCAA
rnacentral:SRP_RNA from 1 species